CGACGCCACCACCACCGCCGCCGCAUUCCUUCCGUCCGCCAUUUUAGGUUGGGAUCAGCGAGGCGGCGCCAUUAAAGCGCAAGAGAGAGAGAAAGAGAGAAAGAGAGAGAAGGCGUGAGAGAAAGAAAGGAAGAGAAAGAGAGGAGAGCGAGGCUGCAGUCGACUGCUUCAGUUUGAGCCGGCUUUUCUCCCCGUUUUCUCGAGUCCCGCUUUCUCCUCAACUCCCAACAUGUCGGACCAAGACUUCAUGGGCGACGCAGGCGCUGCCGAGGCCUUUGACGAGGAGGCCGAGCAGCUGGAGGGAGUCGCGGUCGGAGGGAACGACGAAGAGGACGGCGCGGAAGGCGGCGGCGGCGGAGGGGGCGGCGGCGAAUCCGAAGGCGCCAAAAUCGACGCCAGCAAGAAUGAGGAGGAUGAAGGGUACGUUGGGAAAAUGUUCAUUGGAGGCCUUAGCUGGGACACUACGAAGAAAGAUCUGAAGGACUAUUUCACUAAAUUUGGUGAAGUUGUGGAUUGCACCCUGAAGUUGGACCCUAUUACAGGACGAUCAAGAGGCUUUGGCUUUAUAUUGUUCAAGGAGGCUGAGAGUGUUGACAAGGUCAUGGAUCAGAAAGAACAUAAAUUGAAUGGCAAAGUGAUUGAUCCUAAAAGAGCAAAAGCAAUGAAAACAAAAGAGCCAGUUAAAAAGAUUUUUGUUGGGGGCUUGUCUCCAGAUACACCUGAAGAGAAAAUAAGGGAAUACUUUGGAGGAUUUGGUGAGGUGGAAUCGAUAGAGCUUCCCAUGGACAACAAAACCAACAAGCGCCGAGGAUUUUGCUUCAUUACUUUCAAAGAUGAAGAGCCAGUGAAGAAAAUUAUGGAGAAAAAAUACCACAAUGUUGGUCUCAGCAAAUGUGAAAUAAAAGUAGCCAUGUCAAAAGAACAAUAUCAACAGCAACAGCAGUGGGGAGUCCGAGGGGGAUUUCCAGGAAGAGCCCGUGGCCGUGGUGGAGGACCCAAUCAAAGCUGGAACCCAGGAUACAGUAAUUACUGGAAUCAGGGCUAUGGCAACUAUGGAUACAACAGUGGAGGCUAUGGAGGUUAUGGAGGCUAUGACUACACAGGCUACAACAACUACUACGGCUAUGGUGAUUAUAGCAAUCAGCAGGGUGGUUACGGGAAGGUGUCUCGGAGAGGAGGUCAUCAAAAUAGCUACAAGCCGUACUAAAUUAUUCCAUUUGCAGCCUAUCCCAAACAGCGGGAACUUCCUUGCAGGCCCUGUGUCGCGCUGACUUCCCGAUUCUCACAGGCCCGCUCAAUGCGGACAGGGUACGAGAUGCUCACGCUCUCGAAUGCUGCCGUUUGGUGGACAAGCAGUAUUGUCAUUUGAAGAUUCAUUUUUGAGGUGGCUCAUGCUGCCUGCUAAUAGCAGUUCAAACUAAUUUUUGUAUCAAGUUCCUGAAUUGGAAGUAAGAUGUUGGUCCCCAGAAGUUUGAUUGCGUUGUCAUUACAGAAUUGCUUUCACCGUCUUUUAUUUUUUUAAUUGCUAUGCUUAAGAAUCAAUUUGAUUUAUGUCCCACACCCAUUUUGUACCCCAGUAUUGUAGAGCAAGUCUUGUGUUUAAAGCCCAGUGUGACAGUGUCAUGAUGUAGUAGUGUCUUACUGGUUUUUUAAUAAAAACUUUUGUAUAAAUGUG